CACCUGUAUGAGCUUGGCUUUGUGCAAAACCCUGCUGACAUGAUCAAUAACCCUGCUGACAUGAUCAAUGCUUGUAACAUUCCUCAUAACACAUCUGUAACCCUGGCUUCCCCUCCCUUUCUCCCUCCCGCCCUCUCUCUUUCUCCCUCUCUCCCCCUCUCUUCCUUCCUCUCUCCUUCCCUCCAUUCAUCUCCAGAAAGUAGCUCAGAUCAUAAGCCCUUCCACUAUAGUGUGAUUCCUGACUGGGACCCUGCUUGGAGUAAGUGGAGCAACGCCUCAACUCAAACCUCCUUCUCUAAACAACGCCCAGGGCCUGUAUUCACAGAGCUUCUCAGAGUAGGAGUGGUUGAACUAGGAUCAGGUCCCACCAGCCCUUGUAAUCUCAUUCAUUAUGAUCUAAAAAGGGGAAAAACUGAUCCCAGAUCAGCACUGGUACUGAGAUGAUAUGUGAAUAUGGGGCCUGGGCUAAGAGCUGUGCUAUAAUCUAUACUGUAUGGACGCCUGUAUUUCUCCAAGCUGCUGCUGUUUGUGACAUAGCCUGGGUACCAGUCUCUUUGUGUUAACGUUCAUCUCCUCGUCGUGACAAACAAAUGACCACAAGAGUACCAGAGGUGGAAUGUUAGCACGAAACAGGUCUGGAUUUCAGGCUAGCUGUGGUGUUUUGAUGGGAGGUCUGGGUGCUUGUAGUAUCUCUGUAGUAAGUCUGCUACUCUGGUCUCUCUCUACAGGUCUGAUAUCCAGAAAGACACUAUUACCACGCCAAGGAAGACAGACGAGACCAAUAUGUUUUCUCGCGCUGCCAGCAGCACCUCUCAUGGACACUGUAAAGACCCGGGACUGUUUUUAAAUGAAAAGAAAGGCCACUUUUGAGCAUAGCUUUUAUAUAGUUUUUUUUUUUUUUUUAAAGUUAAUUUAAAUAUUGUUAUAUUUUUCUUCCCAAAAGUACCUGGUGGGUGCAGUCGUUUUUUUCCUGUUACUCUAUUGGGUUAUUCUGUAAAUAAUUAUUUUAAUAGUUUCCUGUGAAUUUAUGAAUGGUUGGUUUCUUUAUCGUCUUGUUGACCACUUUUACUGCAACUUCUGAUUCACCUGUUGAUUGAUGUUAUACCCUGGGAUGAAAGGCUAGUUCUGAUAUACCCUGGGAUGAAAGGCUAGUUCUGGUAUACCCUGGGAUGAAAGGCUAGUUCUGGUAUACCCUGGGAUGAAAGGCUAGUUCUGGUAUACCCUGGGAUGAAAGGCUAGUUCUGGUAUACCCUGGGAUGAAAGGCUAGUUCUGGUAUACCCUGGGAUGAAAAGCUAGUUCUGGUAUACCCUGGGAUGAAAGGCUAGUUCUGGUAUACCCUGGGAUGAAAGGCUAGUUCUGGUAUACCCUGGGAUGAAAGGCUAGUUCUGUUACCCUGGGAUGAAAGGCUAGUUCUGGU
ensembl:lncRNA